UACGUAGGCAGCAAACGUUGUUCGGAAUUACUGGGCGUAAAGAGUGUGUAGGCGGUUGGGUAAGUUUGGUGUGAAAUCUCCCGGCUUAACUGGGAGGGUGCGCCGAAAACUGCCUGGCUUGAGUACUGGAGAGGAUAGCGGAAUUCCUGGUGUAGCGGUGAAAUGCGUAGAUAUCAGGAGGAACACCUGCGGUGUAGACGGCUAUCUGGACAGUAACUGACGCUGAGACACGAAAGCGUGGGGAGCAAAC
rnacentral:rRNA from 1 species